rnacentral:rRNA from 1 species
GCAAGCAAGGGCAGGCGGUGGAUGCCUAGACACCGAAAGGCGAUGAAGGACGCGGCGUAGCGGCGAUACGCCUCGGGGAGGUGCGUAGCAACCUGUGAUCCGGGGAUUUCCGAAUGGGGAAACCCCUCCCGGCAAACCCGGGAGACCUCGGCGUUAGCUGAGGGGCGAACCCGCCGAAGUGAAACAUCUCAGUAGGCGGAGGAAAAGAGACCAAUAUGGUAUUCCCUGAGUAGCGGCGAGCGAAACGGGAGGUAGCCCAAACCUGCUGC